rnacentral:rRNA from 1 species
UACGUAGGGUGCGAGCGUUGUCCGGAAUUACUGGGCGUAAAGAGCUCGUAGGUGGUUUGUCGCGUUGUCCGUGAAAACUCACAACUCAAUUGUGGGCGUGCGGGCGAUACGGGCAGACUGGAGUACUGCAGGGGAGACUGGAAUUCCUGGUGUAGCGGUGGAAUGCGCAGAUAUCGAGAGGAACACCAGUGGCGAAGGCGAGUCCCUGGACAACUCCUGACGCUGAGGCACGAAAGCUAGGGGAGCAAACAGG